GACCCAUCCAGUUAACCGACUGGCUCUCAUGAUCAAACAUAGUCAACAACUUUUUGUUGGUCUGAAAAGGGUAUGAUUCAGCUAACAACUUAAAAGCCGAGCCCCUACUCACAGUAAAGACAAGACCAUACUCAUUCUCAGGGAUGUUCAAGUAAUCCAUAAUUCUAGUCUUAAUAUCGUGUUCCACAGUGCCUUUCUCAGCACCCCCAUACAGAGCAUGAUUGCUCAAAUUAGCAGUAAUCUCAGACAAGCUAAAUGUAGAUGACUCCCAGUAAUGAACACUUUGAAGGAAUGAAAACAACCCAAAUCCACAGUAAUCAAGACAUA
rnacentral:lncRNA from 1 species